AAGGGGCUGAAUUCCGAAAAACCUGCUAAUUUUUUCUACCAGGACUAACACCCUGGGCUCCUUA
rnacentral:tRNA from 1 species